AGUCGAGGGGUAUAGUAGCAAUACUAGAGACCGGCGCACGGGUGCGUAACGCGUAUGCAAUCUACCUUUUGCAGAGGGAUAGCCCAGAGAAAUUUGGAUUAAUACCUCAUAGUAUAGUACAGCCGCAUGGUUGAACUAUUAAAGUUACAACGGCAAAAGAUGAGCAUGCGUCCCAUUAGCUAGUUGGUAAGGUAACGGCUUACCAAGGCCGCGAUGGGUAGGGGUCCUGAGAGGGAGAUCCCCCACACUGGUACUGAGACACGGACCAGACUCCUACGGGAGGCAGCAGUGAGGAAUAUUGGUCAAUGGGCGCAAGCCUGAACCAGCCAUGCCGCGUGCAGGAUGACGGUCCUAUGGAUUGUAAACUGCUUUUGUACAGGAAGAAACCCUACUUCGUGAAGUAGCUUGACGGUACUGUAAGAAUAAGGAUCGGCUAACUCCGUGCCAGCAGCCGCGGUAAUACGGAGGAUCCAAGCGUUAUCCGGAAUCAUUGGGUUUAAAGGGUCCGUAGGCGGUUUAGUAAGUCAGUGGUGAAAUCCCAUCGCUCAACGGUGGAACGGCCAUUGAUACUGCUGAACUUGAAUCAUUAGGAAGUAACUAGAAUAUGUAGUGUAGCGGUGAAAUGCUUAGAGAUUACAUGGAAUACCAAUUGCGAAGGCAGGUUACUACUAAUGUAUUGACGCUGAUGGACGAAAGCGUGGGUAGCGAACAG
rnacentral:rRNA from 1 species